AGGACGAACGCUGGCGGCGUGCCUAAUACAUGCAAGUCGAACGAACUGUGGAAAGCUUGCUUUCAGAGUUAGUGGCGAACGGGUGAGUAACACGUAAGUAACCUAGCUAUUAGACGAGGAUAACUACUGGAAACGGUAGCUAAGACUGGAUAUGAUAGAAAUAUUUAAAGGAUGCUAAGGCAUCGCUAAUAGAGGGGCUUGCGGCGCAUUAGCUAGUUGGUAGGGUAAAAGCCAACCAAGGCGAUGAUGCGUAGCCGACCUGAGAGGGUGACCGGCCACACUGGGACUGAGACACGGCCCAGACUCCUACGGGAGGCAGCAGUAGGGAAUCUUCGGCAAUGGACGGAAGUCUGACCGAGCAACGCCGCGUGAGUGAAGAAAGUUUUCGGAUUGUAAAGCUCUGUUAUUAGGGAAGAAAGGCUCUAGGAGGAAAUGCUUAGGGAUUGACGGUACCUAAUGAGGAAGCCACGGCUAACUACGUGCCAGCAGCCGC
rnacentral:rRNA from 1 species